AAAGAAGAGUGGCGAACGGGUGAGUAACACGUGGGUAACCUGCCCAUCAGAAGGGGAUAACACUUGGAAACAGGUGCUAAUACCGUAUAACAAUCGAAACCGCAUGGUUUUGAUUUGAAAGGCGCUUUCGGGUGUCGCUGAUGGAUGGACCCGCGGUGCAUUAGCUAGUUGGUGAGGUAACGGCUCACCAAGGCCACGAUGCAUAGCCGACCUGAGAGGGUGAUCGGCCACAUUGGGACUGAGACACGGCCCAAACUCCUACGGGAGGCAGCAGUAGGGAAUCUUCGGCAAUGGACGAAAGUCUGACCGAGCAACGCCGCGUGAGUGAAGAAGGUUUUCGGAUCGUAAAACUCUGUUGUUAGAGAAGAACAAGGAUGAGAGUAACUGUUCAUCCCUUGACGGUAUCUAACCAGAAAGCCACGGCUAACUACGUGCCAGCAGCCGCGGUAAUACGUAGGUGGCAAGCGUUGUCCGGAUUUAUUGGGCGUAAAGCGAGCGCAGGCGGUUUCUUAAGUCUGAUGUGAAAGCCCCCGGCUCAACC
rnacentral:rRNA from 1 species